AUGUCAUUUAAAUGAGUAAUGAAUGAAUAAUAAAUUCCAUCUAGUCCAGGUGCAGAAUCUGAUAAAUUAACAGUUGGGGGAGAAAUUCUAUCAAGAAAAUCGUCUAUUAGAAAAGAUGGAAAAGUUGGAGAUGAGGAGGUAUUAUAAGCUGAUCUGAAUCUUCUAAUGUUAUUCCAAACAGCGGAUGGGGGAGUAUUGGGAGAUAGAGAUGCACAAAAUUUUUGCCAACUGUCUCUUUUUUUUCUUUUAAAAAGUAAUUUUGUUUUGUUAGUAAUCUCCUUUAGUGAUAAGAGGUUCUCUAUGGUCAUAUUAUUAUUAAAUAUUUUUUCGGCA